CGGGAAUGGAAAAUACACAUUGUACAUUUAUCCUUUACAAGAAGAACUUGAUACAAUUCCAUUACCACCUGAAGCAAAGGAGUUUGAGAACAUGCCCAAAGCCCAGUGUACAACCUGCAAGAAAAUGGUUCCUCUUCAGAUUCUUCCAUUACAUAUCAAGGAAUGCAAGACAGAAUUUGUAGAUUUGACCUCUUCUGCGGAAGAGGAAAGCUGCAACGAAGAACGUGAAGAUGAAUUACCAGAUUCCAUUAGCAGCCAGGAAGGCAAGUGCUGAGGAAAUCUUGGAUUGGAUCGCUUUACAAGUUAAUGAAACAGACAAGACAGACAGACAAACUGUGUGUUGAGAACUGACUUCUUCAGCAGAGGCAUGCAACAAUGGCAGCAGCAGAAGAAGACAUCACCCAAAUGUAGACUUAAGGUCACAUUCUUUGGCGAGGCAGGCAUUGACACUGGGGCCCUUAGCAGAGAAUUCCUCACAGGUAGAAAUGUUUGUCUAUAUUUCCUUUCACAAUAAGACAAAAUUUGUGCACAUCAAAUUCUUACAAGGUGAGGUAUAGGAUAAAAGAUAAUCAAGAACAAAAAGGAAAGGAAUUAUCCGCACACUCUGGUUAUAGUUCCAAGAGUUUUUAUGUCAUUUUAUAUGAACCAGCAUUUGUUAGCCCAAUAGAAUAACUGUCUGAGUCAUAAUACAUGGUGAAUCUGCAGUGUUAGGGGAACUAGGUAGAUAUCACAAUUUAGCCAAAAUAUGAGUUAGACAAUUAAGUUAUAAGGCUAAUGAUUGAGAAACAUUUUAACAACAUUUAACCAGAGAAUAAAAUGUGUAUAUUGUUCAAGCAAUCAGAACAUUGAGUACAUCUAUUAUAAAUUUUGCUUUGCUGACUUGCUCUAUUUGUGUGAUCACUUCAAUGAAGUAUUACACACUUACUUGUAUAUCAUUUUUUCAACAAAUUGCUCCUGAAUUUUAACCUUCUACUCCUUCCACAUUGUUGUGUUGAAGAUACUGACCCCAUUCAAAUAUUAAAAAUUCAAUUGUAU